rnacentral:rRNA from 1 species
UACGUAGGCAGCGAGCGUUGUUCGGAAUUACUGGGCGUAAAGAGUGUGUAGGCGGUGCUCUAAGUUCGGUGUGAAAUCUCCUGCUUAACUGGGAGGGUGCGCCGGAAACUGGAGUGCUUGAGCGUGGGAGAGGAAAGCGGAAUUCCUGGUGUAGCGGUGAAAUGCGUAGAUAUCUGGAGGAACACCGGUGGCGAAGGCGGCAUCCUGGACCGACACUGACGCUGAGGAGCGAAAGCCAGGGGAGCAACGGG